rnacentral:rRNA from 1 species
GAGUUUGAUCAUGGCUCAGGAUGAACGCUGGCGGCGUGCUUAACACAUGCAAGUCGAACGAAGCACUUUACCACGAUUCCUUCGGGAUGACGGUUUAGUGACUGAGUGGCGGACGGGUGAGUAACGCGUGGGGAACCUGCCCCAUACCGGGGGAUAACAGCCGGAAACGGCUGCUAAUACCGCAUAAGCGCACAGUACCGCAUGGUACGGUGUGAAAAACUCCGGUGGUAUGGGAUGGACCCGCGUCUGAUUAGCCAGUUGGCGGGGUAACGGCCCACCAAAGCGACGAUCAGUAGCCGGCCUGAGAGGGCGACCGGCCACAUUGGGACUGAGACACGGCCCAGACUCCUACGGGAGGCAGCAGUGGGGAAUAUUGCACAAUGGGGGAAACCCUGAUGCAGCGACGCCGCGUGGAGGAAGAAGGUCUUCGGAUUGUAAACUCCUGUUGUUGAGGAAGAUAAUGACGGUACUC